AAUGAGAGAAUGAUAAAUCAGAUUUUCCUCUUGAUUUUAAGUUUUUUCUUCUUGAAAAAUUUUAAAUCCAACUAAAAAUGCUAUAAAUCAGGAAGAAAAAUUUAAUUUAUUAUUCUUCAAUU
rfam:Gossypium raimondii Chr07_contig_131, whole genome shotgun sequence.